GCCUACGGGGGGCAGCAGUGAGGAAUAUUGGUCAAUGGACGAGAGUCUGAACCAGCCAUGCCGCGUGCAGGAUGACGGCUCUAUGAGUUGUAAACUGCUUUUGUACGAGGGUAAACCCCGAUACGUGUAUCGGGUUGAAAGUAUCGUACGAAUAAGGAUCGGCUAACUCCGUGCCAGCAGCCGCGGUAAUACGGAGGAUCCGAGCGUUAUCCGGAUUCAUUGGGUUUAAAGGGUGCGUAGGUUGUUUUAUAAGUUAGCGGUGAAAUACCGAUGCUCAACAUCGGGGCUGCCGCUAAUACUGUAGG
rnacentral:rRNA from 1 species